UGGAAAGCUCUCGAGGUGUAGAUGAGGUUUGACACAAGACCCUGUCCGAUUAGUGGCCGAAUCUGCCGGAUUUUGACCGAGAAAGCGAAGCGACACGCUGCGCGUUGGGGAGGUUUCACGCGCUUUUUCUAGCGGCCUAGAGCGCCGGCCGGCAGUGAGGAGGUGCUGGGGCGGCGCGCCAGCGAGUGGGAAGGGCUGGGGUGGCGGCGACGCGGAUAGAAAAGGUGAG
rnacentral:misc_RNA from 1 species